GGAUGGUUGUGAAAGGUUGUC
rnacentral:siRNA from 1 species